rnacentral:lncRNA from 1 species
AUGCCUGCCCAUCGAGGAAUAGCUGACUCAAUGGCCCCAUUCAUGGGCCUUCCCACACCUUCCAGCUCUCCUUCUCUCCAGAGAUAUAUGGCAGGAUAUCCAUAUAUGCAGCUGUCGGUGGAAAACCAUGGAAUGGGUGCGCGUUUUGUUCACUGGACUGAAGGAGAAAGGUUUUAUACACUACAUGCUGAUAACUACCAGCCAGAAAAGAAAAGUGGGACAGAAGAUGGAUUCUUCAGAUUUAGCAAUGACUUCUCUAGAAGAAGGGGAGAUUGUGCUGUCAUGAAUUAAAUUAAAAAAAAAAUCAACCAGCAAAAUACAGAUGCUGAGCAACUCCUUUGGCUACAUCGAUGGGUCUCUUUCAACAGCUGUGGGAGCAAAAUGUUCUGGUACUGUAUGACAGGAGCCUGGAGGAACUGAGGAGAUGAAGCACAGGCUCUGGAUCCACUGGGGAAAAUGCCAAGUGAGUAGAUCCGGUAACUGUGAAGUAGAGUUAAUGAGAAGUUCUUAGAUAUGCUGCUAGAGGAUUUGGAAAUGGGUAACAUGUGAAGGUAUUUGUCUUUCCAUAGACGUACUUCAUUCAUCAAUGGCCCCAUAAUGUCAGGAAUGAUGUUACUUCUUAUUAUGCUUCAUAAAUGUUGGAGACCCUUUGAAGAAUUGAGCUAAGCACACUGUGCAUGGAACUCCUUACUUGGCACACUUCUAGCAGCUCCCUCUCCCAGGCAUGUAGGAGGGCAGGCCAAGGGCCUUUGUGUAAACAUCUCCCACUGCUCUCUUCAAGAGAAGCGUGAGCGUCUCAGGGAACAUCAGAAUGUGUGCACAGGCAUAUGCUCAUCCUCGUGUGCUCUUGGUGCUGAG